AUUUUUACUCAUUUUUGAGAACACACUGGAAACUGUGUGAGUACUCUGGUGAGAGAAAGGGGAAGUGUACCUACACAAGUUUAAGGUAGUGGUCCUUUAUGGGUAUAAACAACCACAAUAUUUUAUUAUUAAGUUUACAAGUUAUUUACAAGUGGUUCUCUUUGACCUCUUGAUCCUAGUGGAAGGUCAUAAUAUAUGUUCCUAGACAGCUGUACCCAAAAUGAAUUUUUAGGUAAGGAGAUAUAUUCCUUUUUUUUUUUUUAAAGAUUUAUUUAUUAUUAUAUGUAAGUACACUGUAGCUGUCUUCAGACACACCAGAAGAGGGAGUUAGAUCUCGUUACGGAUGGCUGUGAGCCACCAUGUGGUUGCUGGGAUUUGAACUCUGGAUCUUCGGAAGAGCAAUCGGGUGCUCUUACCCACUGAGCCAUCUCACCAGCCCCGAUAUAUUCCUUUUUUAAUCCCACAGUAGCAGAGGCCUUGCAUCUAUGCAAGAGCCAUACAUACUUUUAACCCAUUAACAGUUUCUUCAACUCCUACUUUGGUUGUUUUUUGUUUUUGUUUGUUCAGUUGGUUUUGUUUUGUUUUGUUUGAGACAUAGUUUCUUUAUGUAACCCUAGCUGAAACUUGCUCUGUAGACCAAGCUGGUCUCCAUCUCACAGACCCUCCCUGCCUCUGCCUCCCUGGUGCUGGGAUUAAAGGAGUGUGCCACCUCAGAUACCUCCAGCCCCUACUUUUUAAAUUUUGAGACAGGUUCUCAAUUGUUCAGAUUAGCCUUAAACUUUGAAUCCUCCUGCCUCAGCCUCCCAAGUAGCUAAAAUUACAGGCAAUGCAACCUAGCUGGACUAUGAGUUACAUUCUUGAGAAUGAUUUGUAGUGACAACCAUAAACCAUCUUCUGUUUUCUGUUGUUGUGGGGACUUGGAAAGGAUGCACAAAUGUGGUACUCUACCUUCAGGGUUCUCUGUGUGAAUUGGAGAGAUAAUAAAAGCCUGAGUUGUCAAGUUAAGACUUCAUAGUGAGAGUCCAUGCUUUUGUCAACAUGUCCCUAAAUAUGUGAUUAUUAAUUACUCUUUCUUCGCAUUACAGUACCUCUGAAGAGUGCAGUUCACUCUUAUUUAUAGCCUCUUUAAAAGCAAGAAAUUCUUAAUAGAAUGAGGAUAGCAUGAAGGAGCUGACUUAAGAGUUUGUGCUGCUGCAAAGAAACACCAUGACCAAAAAGCAUGCUGGGGAGGAAAGGGUUUAGUUGGCUUACACUUCCACAUCAAGGUAGGAACUCAAACAGUGUAGGAAUCUGAAGGCCAGAGCUAUGCAGAGGCUAUGGAGUGGUGCUGCUUGCUGACUUGCUCUCCAUGGCUUGCUCACCCUACUUUCUAAUAGAACUCAGAACCAGGGAUGACGCCACCCACAAGAGGCUGGGCCUUCCUCCAUCAAUCACUAAUUAAGAAAAUGCCCUACAGGUUUGCUUACAGCCCCAUUUUAUAGAGGCAUUUUCUUAAUUAAGGUUCCUUCCUCUCUGAUGACUUUAGCUUGUGUCAAGUUGACAUAAAACUAUCCAGGACAGGAGAAUAUAUUAAAGUCAUUGGAAGGGAAAGGAAUUGCUCACC
rnacentral:lncRNA from 1 species